UAAUAAGUGUUUUAUGGCACUUUUUAAAUCCGUAUCCACCUUGUGUGCAAUGUCAGUCGAUCUUCUUCAUGGAGAUCGACCAAACAUCAACCUUUAUCUUUUAACUCUUUGUCUGAAAAAUAUUAUGAAUAAACAAUUCAAAAUA
rnacentral:misc_RNA from 1 species